AUGGCAGGGCAAAGUUACUACGUAUCAAUUGUCACAUUGAACAUUAAUGGUCUGAAUUCUUCAGUUAAAAGACACCGUUUGGCUGACUGGCUCACAGAACACAACCCAACUAUUUGUUGCCUACAAGAAACACAUCUCUCUAACAGAGAUGCAUGCAGACUGAAAGUGAAAGGUUGGAAAAAGAUAUUCCAUGCCAACAGAAACCAAAAAAAAGCAGGUGUAGCCAUAUUAAUAUCAGACAAAAUAAACUUUAAUACAAAAACUGUUAAGAGAGACAAAGAGGGACACUAUAUAAUGAUUAAGGGUUCAAUUCAACAGGAAGAUGUAACUAUUAUAAAUGUAUAUGCACCUAAUUACAGGGCACCGGUCUAUUUAAAAGAUAUGUUAAGGGACUUAAAGGGAGAUUUAGAUUCCAAUACAAUAGUACUGGGGGACUUCAAUACUCCACUCUCAGAAAUAGACAGAUCAUCCGGACAGAAGAUCAACAAGGAAACAGCAGAUUUAAUUGACACUAUUGCCCAAAUGGAUCUAACAGAUAUCUACAGAAUUUUCAACCCUACAUCUACAGACUUCACAUUCUUCUCAGCAGCGCAUGGAACCUUCUCUAGGAUUGAUCACAUACUAGGCCAUAAAGCAAGUCUCAGCAAAUUUAAAAGAAUUAGAAUCAUACCAUGCAGCUUCUCAGACCACAGCGGGAUGAAGCUGGAAAUUAGCAACUCAGGAAACCCCAGAAAGUAUGCAAACACAUGGAGACUGAACAACAUGCUCCUGAAUGAACACUGGGUCAUUCAAGAAAUCAAAAGAGAAAUCAAAAACUUUCUGGAAGUAAAUGAAGACAACAACACAACAUAUCAAAACUUAUGGGAUACAGCAAAAGCAGUAUUGAGAGGCAAAUUUAUAGCAAUAGGUGCCUAUAGCAAGAAAUUGGAAAGAUACCAAAUAAAUGAGCUUUCAGCGCACCUCAAGGACCUAGAAAAACUGCAGCAAACCAAACCCAAAUCUAGUAGGAGAAGAGAAAUAAUUAAAACCAGAGAAGAAAUUAACAGGAUUGAAUCCAAAAAAACAUUACAAAAAAUCAGCCAAGCGAGAAGCUGGUUUUUUGAAAAAAUAAACAAAAUUGACACCCCAUUGGCCCAACUAACUAAAAAAAGAAGAGAAAAGACCCAAAUCAAUAAAAUCAGAGAUGAAAAAGCAAAUGUAACAACGGACACCACAGAAAUAAAAAGAAUCAUCAGAAAUUACUACAAGGACCUGUAUGCCAGCAAACAGGAAAACCUAUCAGAAAUGGAUAGAUUCCUGGACACAUGCAACCUACCUAAAUUGAACCAGGAAGACAUCGAAAACCUAAACAGACCCAUAACUGAGACAGAAAUUGAAACAGUAAUAAAGGCCCUCCCAACAAAGAAAAGCCCAGGACCAGAUGGAUUCACUGCUGAAUUCUACCAGACAUUUAAAGAAGAACUAAUCCCAUUUCUUCUCAAACUAUUCAGAACAAUCGAAGAAGAGGGAAUCCUCCCAAAUUCUUUCUAUGAAGCCAGCAUCACCUUAAUCCCUAAGCCAGAGAAAGAUGCAGCACUGAAAGAAAAUUACAGACCAAUAUCCCUGAUGAACAUAGAUGCAAAAAUCCUCAAUAAAAUUCUGGCCAAUAGAAUACAACAACACAUCAGGAAAAUCAUCCACCCAGACCAAGUGGGAUUCAUCCCUGGUAUGCAGGGAUGGUUCAACAUUCGCAAAUCAAUCAAUGUGAUUCACCACAUUAACAGACUGCAGAAGAAAAACCAUAUGGUUAUCUCAAUUGAUGCAGAGAAAGCAUUUGAUAAAAUUCAACACCCUUUCAUGAUGAAAACUCUAAGCAAAUUGGGUAUAGAAGGAACAUUCCUCAAUAUAAUCAAAGCAAUCUAUGAAAAACCCACAGCCAACAUCCUAUUGAAUGGGGAAAAGUUGGAAGCAUUUCCACUGAGAUCUGGUACCAGACAGGGAUGCCCACUCUCACCACUGCUAUUUAACAUAGUUCUGGAAGUUUUAGCCAGAGCCAUCAGACAAGAAAAAGAAAUCAAAGGAAUACAAAUCAAGAAGGAAGAAGUCAAACUAUCCCUCUUUGCAGACGAUAUGAUUCUGUACUUAGAGGAUCCAAAGAACUCUACUAAGAGACUAUUGGAACUCAUAGAGGAGUUUGGCAAAGUGGCAGGAUAUAAAAUCAAUGCACAAAAAUCAACAGCCUUUGUAUACACAAGCAAUGCCAUGACUGAGAAAGAACUGCUAAGAUCAAUCCCAUUCACAAUAGCUACAAAAACAAUAAAAUACCUUGGAACAAACUUAACCAAGGACGUUAAAGAUCUCUACGAUGAAAAUUACAAAACCUUAAAGAAAGAAAUAGAAGAGGAUACCAAAAAAUGGAAAAAUCUUCCAUGCUCAUGGAUUGGAAGAAUCAACAUCAUCAAAAUGUCCAUUCUCCCAAAAGCAAUUUAUAGAUUCAAUGCAAUCCCAAUCAAGAUACCAAAGACAUUCUUCGCAGAUCUAGAAAAAAUGAUGCUGAAAUUCAUAUGGAGGCACAAGAGACCUCGAAUAGCUAAAGCAAUCUUGUACAACAAAAACAAAGCCGGAGGCAUCACAAUACCAGACUUCAGGACAUACUACAGGGCAGUUGUAAUCAAAACAGCAUGGUACUGGUACAGAAACAGAUGGAUAGACCAAUGGAACAGAAUUGAAACACCAGAAAUCAAUCCAAACAUCUACAGCCAACUUAUAUUUGAUCAAGGAUCUAAAACUAAUUCCUGGAGCAAGGACAGUCUAUUCAAUAAAUGGUGCUGGGAAAACUGGAUUUCCACGUGCAGAAGCAUGAAGCAAGACCCCUACCUUACACCUUACACAAAAAUCCACUCAACGUGGAUUAAAGACCUAAAUCUACGUCCUGACACCAUUAAGUUAUUAGAGAACAUUGGAGAAACCCUUCAAGACAUUGGCACAGGCAAAGAAUUUCUGGAAAAGACCCGGGAGGCACAGACAGUCAAAGCAAAAAUCAACUAUUGGGAUUGCAUCAAAUUGAGAAGUUUCUGUACUGCAAAAGAAACAGGAGAGUGAAGAGACAACCGACAGAAUGGGAAAAAAUAUUUGCAAACUAUGCAACAGAUAAAGGGUUAAUAACCAGAAUCUACAAAGAGAUCAAGAAACUCCACAAAAACAAAACCAACAACCCACUUAAGAGAUGGGCCAAGGACUUCAAUAGACAUUUUUCAAAAGAGGAAAUCCAAAUGGCCAACAGGCACAUGAAAAAAUGUUCAAGGUCACUAGCAAUCAGGGAAAUGCAAAUCAAAAGCACAAUGAGGUUUCACCUCACCCUGGUUAGAAUGGCUCACAUUCAGAAAUCUACCAACAACAGAUGCUGGCGAGGAUGUGGGGAAAAAGGGACACUAACCCACUGUUGGUGGGAAUGCAAACUGGUCAAGCCACUAUGGAAGUCAGUCUGGAGAUUCCUCAGAAACCUGAAUAUAACCCUACCAUUCGACCCAGCCAUCCCACUCCUUGGAAUUUACCCAAAGGAAUUUAAAUUGGCAAACAAAAAAGCGGUCUGCCCUUAAUGUUUAUUGCAGCUCAAUUCACAAUAGCUAAGACCUAGAAUCAACCUAAAUGCCCAUCAACGGUAGACUGGAUAAAGAAAUUAUGGGAUAUGUACUCUUUAGAAUACUAUACCGCAGUAAGAAACAACGAAAUCCAGUCAUUUGCAACAAAAUGAAGGAAUCUGGAACACAUCAUGCUGAGUGAAAUAAACCAGACCCAAAGGGACAAAUACCAUAUGUUCUCCCUGAUCGGUGACAACUGACUGAACACCAAAAAGGAAACCUGUUGAAGUGAAAUGGACACUAUGGGAAACGGUGACUUGAUCAGCAUAGCCCUGACUGUUAAUGAACAACUUAAUACAUUAUCCCUCUUAGUAGUUUUUUUGUCUGUUCUACUUAAUAUGACUGGUUUAAUUCUGUAAUUAAUACACAGUUAUUCUUAAGUGUUGAAAUUUAACUGAAAUGUGAUCCCUGUUAAACAUAGAGUGGGAAUAAGAGAGGGAAGAGAUGUACAAUUUGGGACAUGCUCAAGCUGACUUGCCCCAAAUGGUAGAGUUAGAAACAUACCAGGGGAUUCCAAUUCAAUCCCAUCAAGGUGGCAUGUACCAAUGCCAUCUCACUAGUCCCAGUGAUCAAUUUCAGUUCACAAUUGAUCAUAAUGAAAGGACUAAGAGUCAAAGGGAGCACAUAAACAAGUCUAGUACCUGCUAAUACUAACCGAUAGAAUAAAUAAAGGGGAGAGUGAUCCAACAUGGGAAGCGAGAUACUCAGCAGACUCAUAGAAUGGCAGAUGUCCUAAACAGCACUCUGGCCUCAGAAUCAGCCCUAAAGGCAUUCUGAUCUGGCUGAAAAGCCCAUGAGAGUAUUUCAGGCAUGGAAAGCCCAGACACUCUGGCAAACAAACAAACAAACAAAACAACAACAACAACAACAAAAAAACAAAACUAAAUGAAAGAUCUCUGUGAGUGAGAUCCCAGUGGAAAGAACAGGUCUUCGAAGAAGGAGGUACUUUUCUCUGAAGGGAGGAGAGAACCUCCACUUUGACUAUGACCUUGUCUAAACAAGAUAAGAGUUGGAGAAAUCAAAAGGCUUCCAUAGCCUUGGAAACUCUUGACUGGAGGAUAGGGAGAUUACUGAUGCCAUAAACAGGAGUGUCAAUUUGUAAAGUCAACAAUAAGAGUCACUGUGCUCUUACUCCUCAUGUAGGAUCUCUGUCCUUAAUGUGCUGUACAUUGAGAUUUAAUGCUAUAAUGAGUACUCAAACAGUAUAUUUCACUUUGUGUUUCUAUGGGUGUGCAAACUGUUGAAAUCUUUACUUAAUGUAUACUAAACUGAUCUUCUGUAAAAAAAAAAAGAAAUUAUCAAUUCCCAACUUGACUCUCACUGGGAUUAAACAUGACAAUAGGUCUGAUCUGAUUUCAUCAUCAUUUAAAAAAUCAUCUAUUAUUUUUCACUUUAUGCUUCUGUGUGGGAGCAAACUGUUGAAAUCUUUACUUAAUUUAUGCUAAACUGAUCUUCUGUAUAUAAAGAGAAUUGAAAAUGAAUCUUGAUGUGAAUGGAAGGGGAGAGGGAGUGGGAAAGGGGAGGGUUGUUGGUGGGAGGGACGUUAUGGGGGGGAAGCUAUUGUAAUCCAUAAGGCAUACUUUGGAAAUUUAUAUUCAUUAAAUAAAAGUUAAAAAAAAAUCAAAAAAAGAAAGUAUACAUCAAUUGCUGAUCCAAAUUCAUAAUAAUAAUAAUAACUAGAUUCAUUCUAGAAUAACUUUCAUUUUCUUAAAAUAAUGAGUUUAACAAAGAAAUAAAUGAACAAGUAAAUUCUUAUUUACAUUUAAGUCAAAAGCAGACUGAUACUGAGAUCUCAGCACAGCACCGGAUACUGUGUGAUAUUACAGCACAAUUUUUAAUAUUCUUAAGAAAUAUUAUUUGGAGGCUGGCGCCGUGGCUCACUAGGCUAAUCCUCUGCCUGUGGCACCAGCAUACCGGGUUCUUUUCCCAGUUGGGGCGCUGGUUCUGUCCCAGUUGCUCCUCUUCAAGUCCAGCUCUCAGCUGUGGCCUGGGAAGGCAGUGGAGGAUAUCCCAAGUGCUUGGGCCCUGAACCCACAUGGGAGAACAGGAAGAUGCACCUGGCUCCUGGCUUUGGAUCAGCAUAGCUCCGGCCGUAUCAGCCGUUUGGAGGGUGAACCAACAGAAGGAAGACCUUUCUCACUGUCUCUCUCUCUUACUGUCUAACUCUGCCUGUCAAAAAAAAAAAAAAAAAGGAAUAUUAUUUGGAACCCAAGAUUAUACCCACACCAAAUUAGCGAAGGAACAAGUAAAGCUAUUAGUGUAUAAGUAUUGUUGCUAAUAUAAAAUAUAAAAAUGUGGUUAAAAUUCCAGCUGGUUCAGUAUAAGAGAUGAUUUAGUACAGAACAGGAUAGAGUACGUGUGAUGGUGGUGGUGAGAGUGACCAUGUGAAAAGUUCAUGGAGAAUUAUUUUUGAAAGUAUCAUAUAACAAUAGAGCGUGGUCAUGAAGCUCACACAAAAAUGGUAAUUACAUCCUAACAAAUGGAAUAAAAAUAAAAUAAAUUUCAAUGAGUACUAUAAAAGUUGGAAAGAAAAAAAUACAAGUGAAACAAGAAUUCAUGGGUGCAAACAGAGCAAUAAAUUGACUGUUUCAAGCUGUGGUCACUUGAGGAACUGCAGCUUCAGAAAGGGCCAUUUCACCUUUCUUUUCCUACAUGCAGCAAGCCAUAAAUUCUUCUCAGAGGGAUUUUCUCCCUCAACUAAGGAUCACACCAGCUGUCCCAACUGGCUGACCCAUGAGAAUUACCUUCACUGCCCACAGAUGAUGGAGUUCAGGUCUGACUCACUUGAGAUUCUUCAGUGUCAACAUACUGCCUAUACAUGAUAAGGCCUCAGUAAUGCUGUAUAUGUUAUCGAAAGAGCUAACGUCCUGGCCUGAAGUGCCGGCAUCCCAUAUGGGAGCUGGUUCUAGUCCCGGCUGCUCCUCUUUUGAUCCAGUUCUCUGCUAUGGCCUGGGAAAGCAGUAGAAGAUGGCCCAAAUUCCUUGGGCCCUUGCACCCAUGUGAGAGACUCGGAAGAAGCUCCUGGCUCCUGGCUCCAGAUCAGCACAGCUCCAACUGUUGCGGCCAAUUGGGGAGUGAACCACUGGACAGAAGAGCUCUCUCUUUCUCUGCCUCUCCUCUCUCUGUAUAACUCUGACUUUCAAAUAAAUAAAUAAAUCUUUAAAAAAAAUCCUCUAUACAGCCACAUCGUGUUAUUUACGGCAACUCCCCAUUUUCAGUUUCAUUUCCCAGUCUCAUCUCAAUUCCCAGAAAUGUUUCUUUUCUUUUUUUAAAAAAAAUUUAUUUAUUUAUUUGAGAGGUAGAGUUACAGAGAGUGAGAGGGUAGAGACAGAGUGAAAGGUCUUCCAUCCACUGGGUCACUUCCCAAGUGGCCACAAGAGCCAGAACCCAGCUGAUCUGAAGCCAGGAGCCAAGAGUUUCCUCAAGGUUUCCCACACGGGUGCAUGGGCCCAAGCACUUGAACCAUCCUCUAUUGCUUUCCCUGGUCAUUAGCAGAGAACUGGAUAGAACUGGAGAGAAGUAGCUGAUGAUGACAUAACUACUUGCCGCUAGGCCCCACCUCUUAAAUGUUCAACAGCCUCUUAACAUUGCCACCCUGGACAGUAGGCAUCCAGGAAGAGCUUGCUUUCAGUAUGGCUAGGCUGAUCCUUUCUUCUGAGUUUGGGUAGGACAGCUGGCUAAGGUCUUUUAUUCACCAAGACCACUGACUGAACUGUGUAAUCCGAUUAAACUAUUAUAUGGGCACUGCAAAUGCCUCUCGUAUGACUGGGUUACAGGUUAUAUUCUCUGGUCAUAAGGUACUGUGAUUUCAAUGCAACAGUUGGAUAGAGCUACAAUUUAGGAGGUGGCUCUGAGAUUAAGUAGGUUGGGAUGGAUGGAUUAACUGCUAUUCUUAGUACAUACACACAGUUUCUCUCCCUGGUAGGGGUGUGGGGUGGAUUUUGAGGCCAAAAGGAGCACUUUUUAAACUUCUGUGUGUGUAAUAUUGCUGCCUGCUUUUCUGUCAAAAUUUGCCAUAUUAAAUAGCAUUCCUGUAUGUCCAGGACUCAUUAUCUUCUUUAUUUUGACAUAUUUUUCUCCUUAACAAUUGUCAAUAACAUAGUGUUAUUUACCUUGUUUAUUGUUCCUCUUCAAUUGAAAGGAAGUGAUACAAAAAUAGAGAUUUCUUUUUACUUUUUUAAUAGAAAAAUUUAUUUAAUAAAUAUAAAUUUCAAAAGUACAACCUUUGGAUUAUAGUGGUUCUUCCCCCCAUAACCACCCGCCCAUCUGCAAACCAUCCCAUCGCCUACUCCCUCUCCUAUCCUAUUCUUCAUUAAGAUUCAUUUUU